rnacentral:rRNA from 1 species
AGCUCCACUAGCGUAUAUUAAAGUUGUUGCAGUUAAAAAGCUCGUAGUUGAACUUCUGGCUGCGCACGGCCUCGGAAGCAAUUUCGGGCCGGGUUUUCAUAACAGCAAGAUCGCAGCCAUCCGUCUGCGAGGCGCCGCGGCCUUCACUGGUUCGCGGCGCGGAGCAGACAUUUUACUUUGAAAAAAUUAGAGUGUUUAAGGCAGGCUCCGCGCCUGAAUACAUUAGCAUGGAAUAAUGGAAUAGGACGCUUGUCCGUUUGAUUGGUUAUCGGACUGGCGUAAUGAUUAAUAGGGACAGUUGGGGGCAUUAGUAUUUAAUUGUCAGAGGUGAAAUUCUUGGAUUUAUUAAAGACUAACUUAGGCGAAAGCAUUUGUCAAGGAUGUUUUCA